AUAGCUAGAGCACUUGCAGCACAGAUUUAAUUGCACAAUUCAAAGUCACUAGACAAUUAGUUGCAAGUAUAUAUCCAAAGAAAAAUUCCUACAGUCGCUUCUGCAUUGCCUGUAAACAGAAAAAAGAAUUUAUAUCUGCUGCAACACGCAGCUCUAAACUGAACUAUCCAAAGAACAAAUGUUGUGCCACUUUAAUACUUUUACAUGUUAAAUUAG
rnacentral:misc_RNA from 1 species